rnacentral:rRNA from 1 species
GACGAACGCUGGCGGCGUGCCUAAUACAUGCAAGUAGAACGCAGUUGCGAACGGGUGAGUAACGCGUAGGUAACUGCCUGGUAGCGGGGGAUAACCAUUGGAAACGAUAGCUAAUACCGCAUACUACCAGAUGGACCUGCGUUGUAUUAGCUAGUUGGUGAGGUAACGGCUCACCAAGGCAACGAUACAUAGCCGACCUGGUAGGGUGAUCGGCCAAACUGGGACUGGGGCACUGGCCAGGAUCCUACGGGGGGCAACAGUAGGGGAACUUCGGCAAUGGGGGGAAACCUGGCCGAGCAACGCCGCGUGAGUGAAAGAGGUUUUCGGGUCGUAAAGCUCUGUUGUUAAGGAAGCGGUACUUAACCAGAAAGGGACGGCUAACUACGUGCCAGCAGCCGCGGUAAUUC